rnacentral:rRNA from 1 species
CAGAGUAGCCAAGUUAGGAAGGGAUAAACGCUGAAGGCAUCUAAGCGUGAAGCCCCCCUUAAGAUGAGAUUUCCCAUAGCGUAAGCUAGUAAGACCCCUUGAAGACGACAAGGUUGAUAGGUUAGAGGUGGAAGCAUGGUAACAUGUGGAGCUGACUAAUACUAAUAGGUCGAGGGCUUGACCUA